rnacentral:rRNA from 1 species
AGCUCCAAUAGCGUAUAUUAAAGUUGUUGCGGUUAAAAAGCUCGUAGUUGGAUUUCUGUUGAGGACGACCGGCCCGCCCUCUGGGUGAGUAUCUGGCUCGGCCUUGGCAUCUUCUUGGAGAACGUAGCUGCACUUGACUGUGUGGUGCGGUAUCCAGGACUUUUACUUUGAGGAAAUUAGAGUGUUUCAAGCAGGCGUACGCCUUGAAUACAUUAGCAUAGAAUAAUGAGAUAGGACCUUGGUUCUAUUUUGUUGGUUUCUAGAGCUGAGGUAAUGAUUAAUAAGGAUAGUUUGGGGCAUUCGUAUUUAAUUGUCAGAGGUGGAAUUCUUGGAUUUAUUAAAGACGGACUACUGCGAAAGCAUUUGCCAAGGAUGUUUCCA